GCAGGACUUAGAGGUACCCAGCAUCACGGCUCCAGACCACCACCAGGGGGAGUUAGAGGUACCCAGUGUCACGGCUCCAGACCACCACCAGGGGGAGUUAGAGGUACCCAGUGUCACGGCUCCAGACCACCACCAGGGGGAGUUAGAGGUACCCAGCAUCACGGCUCCAGACCACCACCAGGGGGAGUUAGAGGCACCCAGCAUCACGGCUCCAGACCACCACCAGGGGGAGUUAGAGGUACCCAGUUUCACGGCUCCAGACCACCACCAGGGGGAGUUAGAGGUACCCAGUUUCACGGCUCCAGACCACCACCAGGGGGAGUUAGAGGUACUCAGUGUCACGGCUUCAUUGCUCCAGACCACCACCAGGGGAGUUAGAGGUACCCAGUGUCACAGCUCCAGACCACCACCAGGGGGAGGUAGAGGUACCCAGUGUCACGGCUCCAGACCACCACCAGGGGGAGGUAGAGGUACCCAGUGUCACGGCUCCAGACCACCACCAGGGGGAGGUAGAGGUACCCAGUGUCACGGCUUCAGACCACCACCAGGGGGAGUUAGAGGUACCCAGCAUUACGGCUUCAUUGCUCCAGACCACCACCAGGGGGAGUUAGAGGUACCCAGCUUACGGCUUCAUUGCUCCAGAC
ensembl:lncRNA